rnacentral:rRNA from 1 species
GAUGAACGCUGGCGGCGUGCCUAAUACAUGCAAGUCGAGCGAACAGACGAGGAGCUUGCUCCUCUGACGUUAGCGGCGGACGGGUGAGUAACACGUGGAUAACCUACCUCUAAGACUGGGAUAACUUCGGGAAACCGGAGCUAAUACCGGAUAAUAUAUUGAACCGCAUGGUUCAAUAGUGAAAGACGGUUUUGCUGUCACUUAUAGACGGAUCCGCGCCGCAUUAGUUAGUUGGUAAGGUAACGGCUUACCAAGGCAACGAUGCGUAGCCGACCUGAGAGGGUGAUCGGCCACACUGGAACUGAGACACGGUCCAGACUCCUACGGGAGGCAGCAGUAGGGAAUCUUCCGCAAUGGGCGAAAGCCUGACGGAGCAACGCCGCGUGAGUGAUGAAGGUCUUCGGAUCGUAAAACUCUGUUAUUAGGGAAGAACAAAUGUGUAAGUAACUAUGCACGUCUUGACGGUACCUAAUCAGAAAGCCACGGCUAACUACGUG